UUGCACUCAAUUGGAAAGAGGAGUGGCGGACGGGUGAGUAACACGUGGGUAACCUACCCAUCAGAGGGGGAUAACACUUGGAAACAGGUGCUAAUACCGCAUAACAGUUUAUGCCGCAUGGCAUAAGAGUGAAAGGCGCUUUCGGGUGUCGCUGAUGGAUGGACCCGCGGUGCAUUAGCUAGUUGGUGAGGUAACGGCUCACCAAGGCCACGAUGCAUAGCCGACCUGAGAGGGUGAUCGGCCACACUGGGACUGAGACACGGCCCAGACUCCUACGGGAGGCAGCAGUAGGGAAUCUUCGGCAAUGGACGAAAGUCUGACCGAGCAACGCCGCGUGAGUGAAGAAGGUUUUCGGAUCGUAAAACUCUGUUGUUAGAGAAGAACAAGGACGUUAGUAACUGAACGUCCCCUGACGGUAUCUAACCAGAAAGCCACGGCUAACUACGUGCCAGCAGCCGCGGUAAUACGUAGGUGGCAAGCGUUGUCCGGAUUUAUUGGGCGUAAAGCGAGCGCAGGCGGUUUCUUAAGUCUGAUGUGAAAGCCCCCGGCUCAACCGGGGAGGGUCAUUGGAAACUGGGAGACUUGAGUGCAGAAGAGGAGAGUGGAAUUCCAUGUGUAGCGGUGAAAUGCGUAGAUAUAUGGAGGAAC
rnacentral:rRNA from 1 species